AGACCCGAAACCCGGUGAUCUAGCCAUGGGCAGGUUGAAGGUUGGGUAACACUAACUGGAGGACCGAACCGACUAAUGUUGAAAAAUUAGCGGAUGACCUGUGGCUGGGGGUGAAAGGCCAAUCAAACCGGGAGAUAGCUGGUUCUCCCCGAAAGCUAUUUAGGUAGCGCCUCGUGAAUUCAUCUCCGGGGGUAGAGCACUGUUUCGGCUAGGGGGCCAUCCCGGCUUACCAACCCGAUGCAAACUGCGAAUACCGGAGAAUGUUAUCACGGGAGACACACGGCGGGUGCUAACGUCCGUCGUGAAGAGGGAAACAACCCAGACCGCCAGCUAAGGUCCCAAAGUCAUGGUUAAGUGGGAAACGAUGUGGGAAGGCCCAGACAGCCAGGAUGUUGGCUUAGAAGCAGCCAUCAUUUAAAGAAAGCGUAAUAGCUCACUGGUCGAGUCGGCCUGCGCGGAAGAUGUAACGGGGCUAAACCAUGCACCGAAGCUGCGGCAGCGAACGUAUCACCCAAGACAACUUUACGGAGUUGACGAUUGACGGAGCGAAGCGACGUCAAAGCGUUCAUUAAAGUCGAGUUGGCUUAGGGAUACGUUCGUUGGGUAGGGGAGCGUUCUGUAAGCCUGUGAAGGUGUGUCGUGAGGCAUGCUGGAGGUAUCAGAAGUGCGAAUGCUGACAUAAGUAACGAUAAAGCGGGUGAAAAGCCCGCUCGCCGGAAGACCAAGGGUUCCUGUCCAACGUUAAUCGGGGCAGGGUGAGUCGACCCCUAAGGCGAGGCCGAAAGGCGUAGUCGAUGGGAAACGGGUUAAUAUUCCCGUACUUGGUGUUACUGCGAAGGGGGGACGGAGAAGGCUAUGUUGGCCGGGCGACGGUUGUCCCGGUUUAAGCGUGUAGGUGUGUGUUCCAGGUAAAUCCGGUUCACUUUAACACUGAGGCGUGACGACGAGGCACUACGGUGCUGAAGCAACAAAUGCCCUGCUUCCAGGAAAAGCCUCUAAGCAUCAGGUAACAUCAAAUCGUACCCCAAACCGACACAGGUGGUCAGGUAGAGAAUACCAAGGCGCUUGAGAGAACUCGGGUGAAGGAACUAGGCAAAAUGGUGCCGUAACUUCGGGAGAAGGCACGCUGACACGUAGGUGAAGUGAUUUACUCAUGGAGCUGAA
rnacentral:rRNA from 2 species